GAUGAACGCUGGCGGCGUGCCUAAUACAUGCAAGUCGAGCGAACGGACGAGAAGCUUGCUUCUCUGAUGUUAGCGGCGGACGGGUGAGUAACACGUGGAUAACCUACCUAUAAGACUGGGAUAACUUCGGGAAACCGGAUCUAAUACCGGAUGAUAUUUUGAACCGCAUGGUUCAAAAGUGAAAGACGGUCUUGCUGUCACUUAUAGAUGGAUCCGCGCUGCAUUAGCUAGUUGGUAAGGUAACGGCUUACCAAGGCAACGAUGCAUAGCCGACCUGAGAGGGUGAUCGGCCACACUGGAACUGAGACACGGUCCAGACUCCUACGGGAGGCAGCAGUAGGGAAUCUUCCGCAAUGGGCGAAAGCCUGACGGAGCAACGCCGCGUGAGUGAUGAAGGUCUUCGGAUCGUAAAACUCUGUUAUUAGGGAAGAACAUAUGUGUAAGUAACUGUGCACAUCUUGACGGUACCUAAUCAGAAAGCCACGGAUAACUACGUG
rnacentral:rRNA from 1 species